UUUACAGUGACACGUGGCCCACAUCUAUCCAAAAUGCAUCGGAAGCUGGAAACCUACAACUUUUACCGAUUCGAGUCCAAAUGAAAGUCCUUGUCAAAGUCAACUAACUAUGGAAUUCCCCGAGCCUGAAAUGUGAGAAAAUGAGGAUGGUGAGAUUAUAAAAUCCCAGUGAGUAAACAGAUACCAUCUAAACUAUUUAAAGUCGAGUAAAUGGAGACAAUUAAAAUAAAUCAUCAUACUGUAAUUUCAUUACCUUUCAACUCAUUUCAACCAAAUAAAAUCAAUCCAUAAAAAUCGAGUAAUCAACUUGGCUUAUGAAUUUCUUAAAACUUUGGCUCGUGCCAAAACUCAUACUCGGUGAUACCUUGCGCAGGGCAUCCAACCGAGUCCGCCAAGGCUGUUAAAAUUUUGUGUACACUUAAAAUAUAUUUUUGUUUGAAAAAAAUACAGCCGUUCCUUGGCGUUGGCUGAGUUCCCCUUCACGUGGUG
rnacentral:lncRNA from 1 species